GUCUUUUUGUGUUAAAUUUAAAGUCUGACCUGCCCACUGAAUUUUAAAUGGCCGCAGUAUUCUAACUGUGCAAAGGUAGCAUAAUCAUUAGUCUUUUAAUUGAGGGCUGGUAUGAAUGGUUGGACGAGGUAUAUGCUGUUUCAUAUAUAUUUAUAUUAGAAUUUUAUAUUUUAGUUAAAAAGCUAAAAUGAAAUUAAAAGACGAGAAGACCCUAUAAAUCUUUAUAUUUAGUAUAAUUUAGAAUUUUUUAGAUUUAUUUUAUUUUUAUUAUAUUGAAUAUUUUGUUGGGGUGAUGUUAAAAUUUAAUAAACUUUUAAUUAAUUUGGUAGUCAUUAAUUUAUGUAUUGUUGAUCCAUUAUUAGUGAUUAUCAGAUUAAGUUACUUUAGGGAUAACAGCGUAAUUUUUUUGGAGAGUUCAUAUCGAUAAAAAAGUUUGCGACCUCGAUGUUGGAUUAAGAGACAGGUUUAGGUGUAGCUGCUUAAAUGUUAAGUCUGUUCGACUUUUAAAUUCUU
rnacentral:rRNA from 1 species